CUUUUCGACGCGCGAAUAUUUGAGGUGCUCAGCCCAUAAUGCAGAACAUCAAAUAUAUUUCCACUGGUGCCAUUUUUAUCGGCUGUGAGAAUACUCAUCAAACGAAAGCGAUCGAUACUUUUACUUCUCGUACGGAAUGUGGCACAGCAACAAUAACUGUCUAAACUGUCGAGACAGUACAUAAAUUCCCAGAGUGUAAACAUAACUAGAGACAAAUAAAGCUAAUAUCAAUGAA